rnacentral:lncRNA from 1 species
GGCUGGAUAACGGGACCCGGAGGCCGAAAGCGGAGCUGGCCGACCUGGACUUUCUGAUUUUCCUGGUUCCCGAAUCCCCACAUCUCGACAACACAGCUCCAUCCCCAUCCCCGAGAACCUCGAUCUUUGACCCGCCAGUAGGGGGUCGGAACCGUAUACAGCGAGUGCAUUAGUGUCCACGCACAUCUGUCUGUGGAAUGUGUGCAUCCGCAUGUCCCGAGGGGCUACUGUGUCUCUAGGAUGGGAUUCUACAGUGUCUACUCAAGAAGUGUGAGGACCAGCUAGCUACCAUGCCCAGGAGAGGUUUGACUUCUGGCGGUUUCACCUCUGAUGGCUGCACAACCAAACACUGUGUAUGUGUGUGGCAUAUUUCUUGAAAAGCUUUCUUCAGAUCCUCUGCAUGUUCAUGUCUCGGAGAAGCGUCCGUGGGGAAGGAUUUGGCAUCGUGAGUGUACAGCUCAGAGUUGGUGAAUAGAAUGUGAACAUUGUUAACUUCAUUACACAUCAUGACAUCACAUCCUCCCAGCUUGCCCGUGUUGAAGAACUCCGUUUCUUUCAACCCAGGUCGCUAAUGCCUCUGUUGGAGAAUUGUUUUCCUCUCAAAACAACCAGGGGAUGAGCUGAACUGGUAACUCAGGCUUCCAUGGGCUUCCGGUAGCCCUCUAUGCAGCCUGGCACCCCAACUUUCCACCAGCCGGAAGAAAGCUACACUCCUCAGCCUGAGGCAGGUGCUUUCUUCCAGGCCAUCUUCUACCUUCCUGAAGUGCCUUCUCCUGGUCCUUUGGUCCCUUCCUUUGUCUCAGCUGCAUGUGCAAGAUUUUAUAGAAAGUAAAGACAAUCCUUCCAUUACCAGGGUAUGCAGGGCCCUGGAGGAUGUAUUGUUGGAAUUCUGUGGCUUUCUUUCCUUUAAGAAUGUACAGAAUCCCUUGCUCAGGUCUAGGAAAGGCUGCGUAAAGAACUCUGGAUUUGGAGUAAUGUCCCAGUUGACAUUCCGUAGACAAGGUAGUCAACCCUUCUCUGUAUUAUGGUAAGUCCUCAGUAUGUGUAAUUAUAUAAUU